AAGUCGUAACAAGGUUUCCGUAGGUGAACCUGCGGAAGGAUCAUUCACAAUGAGUGUUUAAUGGCACUUUCAAUCCAUUACCCACCUUGUGUGCAUUGUCGGGAGGACCCUCAAUCUCCUCUCUCUCAGAUCUCUGACUGGGAGGAAAGAGGGAUCUCUUUUCAUUCAUUACUCUGUUCUUCAUAUCAGUCUACUUUAUAGAGUAUAAAACUCGAAUACAACUUUCAACAACGGAUCUCUUGGCUCUC
rnacentral:misc_RNA from 1 species